AACUGAAAUAAAUUAUUUUAAAAAAAUAUCAAAACUAUCUGAUCUCCAAAAUAAACUAUAGUAAACAUUGAGAAAUCCUUCCAAAUCUACUAAGGGUAUUUCAUAUUUUGCCAUUUGUUUGGAUAAAGACCUUAGAAUCACAUACGAUUGACACUACAAUUUCAUAUUGAUCUUGCAGUAGGCAUGGAUGUAAAUUUUCCGUAUCUUCAAUAGUAGAUCAAGGUUCACAUCCAUCUCCUAAAUUUUUUUGGAUUUGGAUUUCUUAGUUUGAGGAAGAUGCAGGGUUAAAAUAUGAGCUCAAGUCCUACCAUAAUUUGCUCUCUUUGCAGUUGUCUUUCACAAGUCUACGAUCCUAAAUUUUACCAAUAGUCUUGCUUUUGUGUAUGUGUGAUUUCAUUAGUAUAAGCAUGCAAGACAAGGUCAAGGUGCUGUAUUUUAAUAGUAGUCUCUAAAAUGAAAGGCCAAUAUGAAUAGAGGGUUUCGUGGAUUAACAAUUCAAAGACUAGAGAAGCCAUGUAUUAAGUGCUCUACUUGAUCCUAUAAGCAUACUUUGAUCUUGCUAAGAAUUUCUUAUUGCUUGUUUCAUCUACUCUGGAUUACUGUUGCAUGAUGCUGCAACCUCACUGUUUUUUUAAAUUAUGUCACCCUUGUAAAAUGUAUCUUGAUAGCUCUUGACAUAAAUAUCUCACAUAACCUCAAAACCAGUCCCUUGAUCAUCCUAUUCCAAUCCAGAGUCUAUAUCACUUCAUGCCUCUAUUAUUUGUCCAGUUUUAGAGUCUCCCUAUUCUUGCCUUGAUAGCAAGGGGAACAUAUCAUUUUAACCAUGCAAAAGAAUGAUUACUGGCCUAGAAGCUUCAAUGCAGUGAUCUUAUCUACACACUUCAUUGAUGUAAAAAUAAAUUCAAAGGCUUUUUCUUAUUGUUUUGUUAAAAUUUUCAUGGCCCUUUGAAUCCUGCAGAAGCAAGCCAAAGAACUGGAAGCAGAAUGGGGCUCAAUUGUAAUUGAAGAAGAGGAGACUGUGAAAGACUAUUAUGAUUUCCUGCAAUAGUGUAGAAGUCUAAAGGAAGAUGUCCAUGACAUUACCUGGGGCGUUAUAAUUAAUUUUGAAAGGGUGAUAGGCACAGCUGAUGAUAAAAGACCUGAAGAUGCAGAAUACAAUGAUAAUAUUCUAACAAAGUGUGUUCUGGAUAAGAGUGUUGGUGCACAGAAAUCAGCAAGAUUAGAGGAGAUGCGAGGAACUUGAAGCAGAUGGGGCUAAUUAGUUGCUAACCACCACCACAUCCUAGAAGUGCUAGAUAGUGAACACUAUUUAGAGGUUGUUGCUUUGGUGCUAUAAUUUGGAGAACUUUCAACUCUAGGCUGUCAAGAUUUGUUGAUCAAAGCCAUUGAAGCUCAGGCUUUAGACGAUCAUCGAGUGUCUGAAACUGUCUUGCACUGGCGAGCUCCCCCCGUCACCUCCAGGUCCAGCCAAAGCUUCAUUCAUGAUCCCAAGUGCUCCUGUAAGAAGGUAAUGAAUGCCUUUGCGCAAGCAGGAUGUAUUGGAGAGGUUGAAAGGAUACUUGGAGAGAAAACAGACUCUUUUGUUCCUCAAGACAAGCAGUUGAGGGAGAUGAUCACUUGGCAAAAUUAUUCAACAGCUGUGGUCUGGGUAUUUUCUAUGAAUCUUCAUAGUAAUAUCUGAAAAAUCCUUGCAAUUGAACCAUGCUCUUAAGAUGGUAUUAUUGUUAAUAUUGUUAUUGGUUAGCAUCCUAACUUUGUAAACUAAGAGUUUCUUUUAAAGGGCUUACUUAUACUGUGAUUAUUCUCUAAGAUAAUUCACAUUGUGAUCAAUGACAUUACAUAUUACAUUUGUUCAAAAAAUUUACCAUUUGUAAGACGACUUUUCUUUCUCUGUAUUUAUGUGAAUGAAUAUGUAGGUUGACAAGAGUAGGCAUUUGUACACAACACUGGCAUACUAAAUACUCUGAGUAUAUUAGUUUCUACUCAUGCUACUGAUGAUUAUUAGGGAAUUGGCUUUCAAAGCAAUUUCAAAUGAAUCACUGGAGGGUUAAAUCAAGUUUGGUUUUGUGCUGUUUUUAUAUUUUUUUUCAAAUUUUUAAGUACAUUAUUUGCUAAAUUAUUUGUAUGUUACUUAG